rnacentral:ribozyme from 13 species
AAAAGAAUAAAAUUAAUACUCCCAUCUCUUUCUUUUUCUUUCUUUCUCCCUUUCUUUCUCUCUUUCUUUUUCUUCUUCCCCUCUUUUUCUUUCU